CCUUCCCCAGUGGAUGGAGGGUGGAGGGGCGGUGGCUUGAGAGAGCGGCUCUCGGGCUGGGUGGGCUGGCCCAGCUGCGGCGUCGGUGAACUCCGUUUCCCAACUCCGGCCGCAGCUCCUUUGUUUUCGAGGUGCAGUGCGUCGGAGGCUCGGCCCUGGAGGCCCUGUGCGCGGGUGCUGGAGACAGAACCCACAGUCUCGCCCAGGCUAGGCAAGCUCUCAGCCACUGAGCUACGAAUCAAACUCAGGACCUCGAGCUUGCCAGGCAGGAGCUUAAGCCACUGAGUAAAAUCCCUGGCCCAGUGCAGCCCAUUUUAAAACCUAGAGCAUUAUUCCCAACUACUGUUUCUAUGAACUGGAUGUGGUUCGAGCCUCACUGUCACCCUCAGGACCACAGGAGUCAGUGGCUGCAAAGCCAACCUCCAGCAUCUGGCCUCUAUUCCCAGUGACUCCAUCAUCAAAACAGAAUGAGUUCCUGGAGAAAUGUUUGACCAGAGCAGAGAUCUCACAUGACCAUGAAACCUAAAGCAGCAUCUUCCGUGUCUGUAUUUUUUUGUCUUUUCCUUUUUUUAAAUCGGUACCAGGGAUCGAACUCACGACCACCUGCUUGCAAGGCAGGCGCUUAUGCCGCUGAGCUAAAUCCCCAGCCCCCCAUGUCUGUAUUAACAGAGACUAACUUAAUGAGAAACUGAUAGUGACCAUGUCAAAAAUCCAAUUCAAAUAAUGACCUUGAAAAGUCACCAGCUCUGGACUCUGUGGGCUACACAACCCUCCUGGGAAGACAAAAGGUUCCCCAGCGUCCACAAAUUCUCUCUUCUUCAAACUUCACACCAAGUGAUUUUGUUUUCGCUCUAAGGCACCUGCCACCAUUUCCUGUUUCUUCUCCCAGGGCGCUGUGAGGUCCUGAGAUGGGCUUGUCCAUCGUGAUCUCUGGAGAGUGUCACCGAGGUGGACCCCCCUGAUGGUGAUGGUGCUGGCCAGCUUCCUCCCUUUACGUUUUCACUGCACCUACUUCAAAGAUGAAAGAAAAUGCAGCUUUUCCAGAAGCACAGAGCUUGGGAGCAAUACACUUGGGGUUUGAACUCAGUUCUGGCCAAAAUGAAGUCACAAAGUUCCUACCAAAUCAGUCCUUUUUGGAAAGUUAGCAGCCUUGGCUCUUUGCAGGACCCUGACUUCUUCCUAUUGCUCAGCCCCAGGACCCACACAGGAGGACCAGGUCCCAGAGUGGUCAUCACAGAUCGUAGGUCAAUUCCCAGUGACAGAGCCCCACCACCGUGUGAGUGCCCAUUCUGCUCAGUAGCCCCAGCUUUUACUUCCCGAGUGGAUGCUGCCCUCACGGUUGUUACCUUCCCAGAUACAACUCUUUGGAGGUAGGAUAAAUGCAACAGUGUGUAGCCCUAUUCCCGCUGCUUGCCCAGGACAGGGCACAGUCAGUAGUCUGGAAAUAAUGGAUAAAUCAGGAAGUGAUCGUGGUCACCAGGACCCACUGUUUUCUGUGUUUGUCCAUACUUCUUGUUCAUUCCAUCUGUUCCUGCCUCUCUUCCUUGUCUUCCAUUGCUGUAUUGAUUAUACAAUCAUUUGUCUGAUCUGAUCUGCUAACCCUUUCUGGGCACUAAUGGAUCACUCCUCCCUUUUUCUAGCCUUUAGGGAACUCCGGGCCAGAGGGCUGUGUCUGGGGCAGCCAGCCAUGCAGGUAGGGAGGCCCUGCCCUGGUUGAUGUUUGCAUUGCUACUGAAGGAUGAUCUCAGCCAACAGGCAGCUUGAAUAAGACCUGUCUUCAAAGACAAAGCAGUGCAAUCCCCCAGGACUGCCCCCGUUCCAGCCCCAUUCCAGGGGAUGCUGUCAGAUGCUGAGAUACAGCCUCACAAGCCCAGCGAGAAACAAAGGGGGAGCAAGCCAGCACUGGGAUGCAAAGGCAGACUUGCUCUUGGCACGAGGUGGCCACUGCUCCUCUCUAAGCCCUCACUCUGGAGUGGCCUGCAGUUGCCUGAGUCUCCAUGGCAGUGUCUGGCACACAUUUCACAGAUGAGAGGCUGAGCCACAAAGCCUGGAGCAGUUGAUGGAUGAGAAUUGCAUGAAACACUUGUUGCCCCCCAGGGAUCUUGGUCCCCUGGUCAGGGAUAUCGCCACUUGCCCAGCGGCCCCAUGCCUGGGUGGAACCUGUCAGGUGGGACAGAUGCCCCAAAAGCCAGGCUUGAGUGAGUACUCACUGUGCUGUCCGGGUCAUUUGACAAAGGUCCACUCACAAUUUGAGGGUUGAGUAGGUCCAGGGAGGUUUCCUCAAAGCUCCUUGUCCCCAAAUAAACAAAGUAAGAGCAGAGAGGGAAAGGAUUUGUCCAAAGAUGCCCAGCCAGGGGGUAGCAUCCCCUACCUCCCCCAAAUAAACACAUGAAUGGUCUGGUUGUACGUCUGACUUAUAAUAAAAUCUUUGAAGAAAAAGCC